rnacentral:rRNA from 2 species
AGGUGCGAUCAUACCAGCACUAAUGCACGGAUCCCAUCUGAACUCCAUAGUCAAGCAUGCCUGGGCGAGGGUCGUACGAGGAUGGGUGACCUCCAGGGAAAUCCUCGUGUUGCACCUC